UACGAAGGGGGCUAGCGUUGCUCGGAAUCACUGGGCUUAAAGGGCGCGUAGGCGGGCCUCCCAGUCCGGGGUGAAAGCUUUCGGCUUAACCGGAAAAGUGCCUUGGAUACUGGAGGUCUGGAGGGAGGUAGGGGCAGUCGGAACUUCCGGUGGAGCGGUGAAAUGCGUUGAUAUCGGAAGGAACGCCGGUGGCGAAAGCGGACUGCUGGACCUUUUCUGACGCUGAGGCGCGAAAGCCAGGGGAGCGAACGGG
rnacentral:rRNA from 1 species